rnacentral:rRNA from 1 species
AUUAGCGGAUGACUUGUGGCUGGGGGUGAAAGGCCAAUCAAACCGGGAGAUAGCUGGUUCUCCCCGAAAGCUAUUUAGGUAGCGCCUCGUGAAUUCAUCUCCGGGGGUAGAGCACUGUUUCGGCAAGGGGGUCAUCCCGACUUACCAACCCGAUGCAAACUGCGAAUACCGGAGAAUGUUAUCACGGGAGACACACGGCGGGUGCUAACGUCCGUCGUGAAGAGGGAAACAACCCAGACCGCCAGCUAAGGUCCCAAAGUCAUGGUUAAGUGGGAAACGAUGUGGGAAGGCCCAGACAGCCAGGAUGUUGGCUUAGAAGCAGCCAUCAUUUAAAGAAAGCGUAAUAGCUCACUGGUCGAGUCGGCCUGCGCGGAAGAUGUAACGGGGCUAAACCAUGCACCGAAGCUGCGGCAGCGACACUAUGUGUUGUUGGGUAGGGGAGCGUUCUGUAAGCCUGUGAAGGUGGCCUGUGAGGGUUGCUGGAGGUAUCAGAAGUGCGAAUGCUGACAUAAGUAACGAUAAAGCGGGUGAAAAGCCCGCUCGCCGGAAGACCAAGGGUUCCUGUCCAACGUUAAUCGGGGCAGGGUGAGUCGACCCCUAAGGCGAGGCCGAAAGGCGUAGUCGAUGGGAAACAGGUUAAUAUUCCUGUACUUGGUGUUACUGCGAAGGGGGGACGGAGAAGGCUAUGUUGGCCGGGCGACGGUUGUCCCGGUUUAAGCGUGUAGGCUGGUUUUCCAGGCAAAUCCGGAAAACCAAGGCUGAGGCGUGAUGACGAGGCACUACGGUGCUGAAGCGACAAAUGCCCUGCUUCCAGGAAAAGCCUCUAAGCAUCAGGUAACAUCAAAUCGUACCCCAAACCGACACAGGUGGUCAGGUAGAGAAUACCAAGGCGCUUGAGAGAACUCGGGUGAAGGAACUAGGCAAAAUGGUGCCGUAACUUCGGGAGAAGGCACGCUGAUAUGUAGGUGAAGCGACUUGCUCGUGGAGCUGAAAUCAGUCGAAGAUACCAGCUGGCUGCAACUGUUUAUUAAAAACACAGCACUGUGCAAACACGAAAGUGGACGUAUACGGUGUGACGCCUGCCCGGUGCCGGAAGGUUAAUUGAUGGGGUUAGCGGUAACGCGAAGCUCUUGAUCGAAGCCCCGGUAAACGGCGGCCGUAACUAUAACGGUCCUAAGGUAGCGAAAUUCCUUGUCGGGUAAGUUCCGACCUGCACGAAUGGCGUAAUGAUGGCCAGGCUGUCUCCACCCGAGACUCAGUGAAAUUGAACUCGCUGUGAAGAUGCAGUGUACCCGCGGCAAGACGGAAAGACCCCGUGAACCUUUACUAUAGCUUGACACUGAACAUUGAGCCUUGAUGUGUAGGAUAGGUGGGAGGCUUUGAAGUGUGGACGCCAGUCUGCAUGGAGCCGACCUUGAAAUACCACCCUUUAAUGUUUGAUGUUCUAACGUUGGCCCGUAAUCC